GUGGGGAAUAUUGGACAAUGGGCGAAAGCCUGAUCCAGCCAUGCCGCGUGUGUGAAGAUGGUCUUCGGAUUGUAAAGCACUUUAAGUUGGGAGGAAGGGCAGUAAGUUAAUACCUUGCUGUUUUGACGUUACCGACAGAAUAAGCACCGGCUAACUUCGUGCCAGCAGCCGCGGUAAUACGAAGGGUGCAAGCGUUAAUCGGAAUUACUGGGCGUAAAGCGCGCGUAGGUGGUUUUGUAAGUUGGAGGUGAAAUCCCCGGGCUCAACCUGGGAACUGCCUCCAAAACUGCAUGACUAGAGUACGGUAGAGGGUAGUGGAAUUUCCUGUGUAGCGGUGAAAUGCGUAGAUAUAGGAAGGAACACCAGUGGCGCAGGCGACUACCUGGACUGAUACUGACACUGAGGUGCGAAAGCGUGGGGAGCAAACAGGAUUAGAAACCCUGGUAGUCC
rnacentral:rRNA from 1 species